UGACACAAUAUCGUGCCCCAAACCAGC
rnacentral:sRNA from 1 species